ACAAAUUUAACUACUUUUUCUUAAACUGUGUGAAAAAAGAAACAGGACUAUCAAAGUGGGACGGAGGGAGUAUGAAUUUUUAGCUUUAAACUGAUAAUCAUUCAGCGUUUGUUUGGUUGGACCUCGAAAAUGUUUUCCUAAUUUUCCACUGUUUGGACUUUGGACGCAAUCUAAUUUGGGAAAAUGAUUUCUAAUGAAAAAUAACUUUGAGAAGGAAAAUUUCUUCCUUACCUACUAUUCUGAAGUUAUUUUCCUCUCUUAAUCACGGCCUCUUCUUUUCACCGCCCAUUGAAGACCAUCGGCAAACCACCUUCUUGGCCGGCGGCAUUUCCAGCUCCGGCGAAGACCGACUUCUUUUUAAAAAUUUCUGUCUCCAUCUCCAGCUCCCGCGGCAUCCAAACGUAGGCUACUCUUUUAAUUAGAUCAUUAUCUUUUUAAAAAUCAGCUGCUAUAUUAUCAUCUACUCUUUCACGGCAUCUCCAUCUCCAGCUCCUGCUCCGGCGGCAUCCAGAGCCAAUAUUAACGGCUUAUCCCCCUGUGGCAGCGACAUCUCAUCCCCAUUCCUCCAACAGCACCUCCAACAAGGGCGAAGACUCCUUAAGCAUUUCCAGAGCAAAAUCCAGGGCAUGACAAGUAUGUUCACAAUAAAAUCGAAUUGUAUGAUGAAAUGGCUGUUGUGGUUGGAAAAGAUCUGGCCACCAGGUCUUUUGCAAAAUCAUUUGUCAAUGUGAAUUUGGAAACUCCAUUUGUUCCUAAGACAAGUGUAGAGACAAGUGAAGAGACGAGUGUAGAGACAAGUGUGCAAAAGGAUGUGACUAGUGCAAGAUCCUCAGAAGUGAGAGCAAUAUCGUCGGGAACAAAACAACAUCGUAAAAGAAAUUGCAGCAAUGAAGAUAUUGAAAAGAUGUCUCAACAACUUGGAGAAGUGGCAGCUGCUUUGAACAAAAUUAGUGCAAACAAGCUUGAUAUCAGCCAAUUACAUGAUGAGAUUAUGAAGAUAGAAGGUUAUAGCGGAGAAUUUCUGUACUUGGUAUUCGAUCAUUUGGUGCAAAAUGAGAAGCUGGGAAAAGCAUUUAUGGCGAAGAGUCAAAGACUUCGUUUGAUUUCUCUCGAGAGGUUCAAGAAAUAUUGGGGUGAAUGAAGUACUUAUUAUGUGAUGGCAGCAAGAAAGUAACAGAAACUGUAUUAUAAUCAAGCAUCAUAUUCUUGGAAAGUCUCUUCAACUGCAUAGUGUUUUUGAUUGUCAUUUUCUUUUGUAUUUAUAGGAAAACCACUUGCCUUGUUUUGGAAGUACUAGAAUUCCAGAAUUCUCUGCUUAAAGUAAUAUACCAAUUCCUUUGCACC